ACACACUGAAGGAUUCGCUGGACAAGCUCUAAGCACAUAUGACGAGGCCGAUGGGGACGACGAUGACGAAGAGGACUCUGAGGUGGAUCACUGCUAUGGACCCGAAAAACUGCGCACUGCCCAGUCCACCCAGAAGUUGGGUAGAAAUGUCAACAGCAACGAACCGGAGGACGUACACAAGCCCGCUAGCAAUCGAAGCCUGAGUGCAGCCGCCUACAUAGCCAAUGGAGCCAGCAAUGGCAGCAUUAAGGGUAUGC